CCUACGGGAGGCAGCAGUAAGGAAUAUUGGUCAAUGGACGAAAGUCUGAACCAGCCAUGCCGCGUGAAGGAUGAAGGCCCUCUGGGUUGUAAACUUCUUUUACAGGGGACGAAAAAAGGGAAUUCUUUCUCACUUGACGGUACCCUGGGAAUAAGCACCGGCUAACUCCGUGCCAGCAGCCGCGGUAAUACGGAGGGUGCAAGCGUUAUCCGGAUUCACUGGGUUUAAAGGGUGCGUAGGUGGGUCUGUAAGUCAGCGGUGAAAUCUCCGGGCUUAACCCGGAAACUGCCAUUGAUACUAUAGAUCUUGAAUUGUCUGGAGGUAAGCGGAAUAUGUCAUGUAGCGGUGAAAUGCUUAGAUAUGACAUAGAACACCAAUUGCGAAGGCAGCUUACUACGGAUUGAUUGACACUGAGGCACGAAAGCGUGGGGAUCAAACAGGAUUAGAUACCCUGGUAGUCCACGCCCUAAACGAUGGAUACUCGACAUUCGUGAUAUACUAUAAGUGUCUGAGCGAAAGCAUUAAGUAUCCCACCUGGGAAGUACGACCGCAAGGUUGAAACUCAAAGGAAUUGACGGCUGAGACGNGCGAGACGACGACGAGGAGAGG
rnacentral:rRNA from 1 species